rnacentral:rRNA from 1 species
UACGAAGGUGGCAAGCGUUGUUCGGAUUUACUGGGCGUAAAGAGCGCGCAGGCGGUCGAUCAAGUCGAGUGUGAAAGCCCCCGGCUCAACUGGGGAGGGUCAUUCGAUACUGAUCGACUCGAAGGCAGGAGAGGGUAGUGGAAUUCCCGGUGUAGUGGCGAAAUGCGUAGAUAUCGGGAGGAACACCAGUGGCGAAGGCGACUACCUGGCCUGUUCUUGACGCUGAGGCGCGAAAGCUAGGGGAGCAAACGGGG